GACGAACGCUGGCGGCGUGCUUAACACAUGCAAGUCGAACGGAAAGGCCCUGCUUUUGUGGGGUGCUCGAGUGGCGAACGGGUGAGUAACACGUGAGUAACCUGCCCUUGACUUUGGGAUAACUUCAGGAAACUGGGGCUAAUACCGGAUAGGAGCUCCUGCUGCAUGGUGGGGGUUGGAAAGUUUCGGCGGUUGGGGAUGGACUCGCGGCUUAUCAGCUUGUUGGUGGGGUAGUGGCUUACCAAGGCUUUGACGGGUAGCCGGCCUGAGAGGGUGACCGGCCACAUUGGGACUGAGAUACGGCCCAGACUCCUACGGGAGGCAGGAGUGGGGAAUAUAGCACAAUGGGCGGAAGCCUGAUGCAGCAACGCCGCGUGCGGGAUGACGGCAUUCGGGUUGCAAACCGCUUUCGCCUGCGACGAAGCGUGAGUGACGGUAAUGGGUAAAGAAGCACCGGCUAACUACGU
rnacentral:rRNA from 1 species